rnacentral:rRNA from 1 species
GACGUAGGGAGCGAGCGUUGUCCGGAUUCAUUGGGCGUAAAGAGCGCGCAGGCGGUUUGGUAAGUCGGAUGUGAAAACCCGGGGCUCAACCCCGGGCGUGCAUCUCGAUACUGCCCGACUAGAGGUAGGUAGGGGAGAUCGGAAUUCCAGGUGUAGCGGUGAAAUGCGCAGAUAUCAGGAGGAACACCGGUGGCGAAGGCGGAUCUCUGGGCCUUACCUGACGCUGAGGCGCGAAAGCUAGGGGAGCAAACAGG